rnacentral:tRNA from 1 species
ACGGAUAUGAUGGAAUUGGUAGACAUAUUAGAUUUAGGUUCUAAUGAUCGUUUAUAAAUCAUGAGGGUUCAAGUCCCUCUAUCCGUA